AGGACGAACGCUGGCGGCGCGCUUAACACAUGCAAGUCGAGCGAGAACCAGGGCUUCGGCUCUGGGGACAGCGGCGAACGGGUGAGUAACACGUGGGUAAUCAACCCUCGACAUCGGGAUAGCCCGGGGAAACCCGGAUUAAUACCGAAUGCUCCGUCUGGCCUUCGGGCCGGCCGGAAAAGGUAGCUUCGGCCUCCGGUCGGGGACGAGCCCGCGGCGGAUUAGCUUGUUGGUGGGGUAAAGGCCCACCAAGGCGACGAUCCGUAGCUGGUCUGAGAGGACGAUCAGCCACACUGGGACUGAGACACGGCCCAGACUCCUACGGGAGGCAGCAGUGGGGAAUCUUGCGCAAUGGGCGAAAGCCUGACGCAGCAACGCCGCGUGGAGGACGAAGGCUUUCUGAGUUGUAAACUCCUUUCAGCAGGGACGAUAGUGACGGUACCUGCAGAAGAAGCACCGGCAACUACGUGCCAGCAGCCGC
rnacentral:rRNA from 1 species